GGGCGGGAAAGAGAGGGCGCGGGAGAGAUCACGUGGCUCUUGGGUUUUGUGAUGCUCUGUGCUUGUUAUUCUUGGGUUAAAAAAAAAAGUCCAGUCUCAAAAAGUCGCGAGCCGUAAGACUUGCCACUUCGUGCGCAUAAUAGGUUGAGGCGGAGGCUCCAGAGUUCAACAGCUCUGUUCCUCUAUUCGACGCGGCUAGACUAGACCAAACGGAACUGGGGCGUGUCAGUAUUCAAUAUGGCCAAAGACAGUAGGAAGACCUGUUCCAAGCAAAGAAAUAAACAAUGAUCCCUAGCGUCUGGAAUAUUUCAAAUAUUUAUUUGUAUUAAAUUAUAUUUACAUAUACUUUUUCUAUUAAAAAUAAAGCACUUCUAUAUAUAUUAUCCACUA